AAACUGUAAGCCAGCCACCACAAUUAAAUGUUUUCCUUUAUAAGAGUUGUCACGGUCCAAGGCUUAUCUACUGCAUUCCAGUUGUGUUGACCCCUGGGAUUUCCCCAAAUGUGGGACACUCAACUGCAUAAUUUGUGGUAGUGGGGACCACACUCGCACUCUCCUCU